GGAUGAUCUCCGCUUGCUGGGCGAAGCCAUUCAUGGGUGCUGGAUUCUGCGAAGUACUUCCGAAGCCGAACACCUGGUCUCGGAUGGCUCCGAACGAGUGGCCGGGGUCGGGGUCCACGAACUCGGCCUUGUCCGAGACAAACACCGUCCCCGAGCUUGGGUCGGUUAAGUUCAUCGGGUUGCUCUCCUUCCCUGUCAACCCGUCGAUCUCCGGGUUGAGCUUCUUGAGCCAGCCGAGCAUAUGAUCGAAGGACCUGUUCUCCUGGACGAGCACGACUAUCGUCUUGAUCCGGCCGCUCGGCUGCGCUGCAUUGGUGCCGGGGCUCAAGAGGAGCAGGAAAAGAGGGGACAAGAUUAAAUAGCGCGCGCUGGAUUCUUUGCUUGGCCACUUCAAGAAUACCAGCGCAACAAAGGAAUGAGUAGCGCUCACUCCAGUCGAUGCAAAUCUUAUAAGCAAGUAUGGUGAGUGUGCACGCUCAUGACUUUGCCUUGCACGCAUCCAGCCCAAACUCAUGAGGGUCCUCCAUCCCCAAGCGCUCGUAAGCAGGCCCGAGCGAAUGAAAAGAACAGAAGGUGUGAAAGGAACCCCCAGAAAGCGAGCAAGAACCUUUUCUCUCAAACAGCGGAGAGGAAGAUAGACGAUGAUGCGAAUAUGCCGCGUCCAUUUGUCUGGAUUGGUUAAUUGAUGCCAGUAACUGUUUGGCAA